rnacentral:rRNA from 1 species
AACGAACGCUGGCGGCAGGCUUAACACAUGCAAGUCGAACGCCCCGCAAGGGGAGUGGCAGACGGGUGAGUAACGCGUGGGAAUCUACCCAGUUCUACGGAACAACUGAGGGAAACUUCAGCUAAUACCGUAUACGCCCUACGGGGGAAAGAUUUAUCGGAAUUGGAUGAGCCCGCGUUGGAUUAGCUAGUUGGUGAGGUAACGGCUCACCAAGGCGACGAUCCAUAGCUGGUCUGAGAGGAUGAGCAGCCACACUGGGACUGAGACACGGCCCAGACUCCUACGGGAGGCAGCAGUGGGGAAUAUUGGACAAUGGGCGGAAGCCUGAUCCAGCCAUGCCGCGUGAGUGAUGAAGGCCUUAGGGUUGUAAAGCUCUUUCAGUGGGGACGAUAAUGACGGUACCCACAGAAGAAGCCCCGGCUAACUUCGUGCCAGCCGCCGCGGUAA